GAUGAACGCUGGCGGCGUGCCUAAUACAUGCAAGUCGAGCGAAUGGAUUAAGAGCUUGCUCUUAUGAAGUUAGCGGCGGACGGGUGAGUAACACGUGGGUGACCUGCCCAUAAGACUGGGAUAACUCCGGGAAACCGGGGCUAAUACCGGAUAACAUUUUGAACCGCAUGGUUCGAAAUUGAAAGGCGGCUUCGGCUGUCACUUAUGGAUGGACCCGCGUCGCAUUAGCUAGUUGGUGAGGUAACGGCUCACCAAGGCAACGAUGCGUAGCCGACCUGAGAGGGUGAUCGGCCACACUGGGACUGAGACACGGCCCAGACUCCUACGGGAGGCAGCAGUAGGGAAUCUUCCGCAAUGGACGAAAGUCUGACGGAGCAACGCCGCGUGAGUGAUGAAGGCUUUCGGGUCGUAAAACUCUGUUGUUGGGAAAAACAAGUGCUAGUUGAAUAAGCUGGCACCUUGACGGUACCUAACCAGAAAGCCACGGCUAACUACGUGCCAGCCGCCGCGGUAA
rnacentral:rRNA from 1 species